AUUAAACGCUGGCGGCAUGCCUUACACAUGCAAGUCGAACGGCAGCACGGGGGCAACCCUGGUGGCGAGUGGCGAACGGGUGAGUAACAUAUCGGAACGUGCCCUGGAGUGGGGGAUAACUAGUCGAAAGAUUAGCUAAUACCGCAUACGAUCUACGGAUGACAGUGGGGGAUCGCAAGACCUCAUGCUCGUGGAGCGCCCGAUAUCUGAUUAGCUAGUUGGUGGGGUAAAAGCCUACCAAGGCAUCGAUCAGUAGCUGGUCUGAGAGGACGGCCAGCCACACUGGGACUGAGACACGGCCCAGACUCCUACGGGAGGCAGCAGUGGGGAAUUUUGGACAAUGGGCGCAAGCCUGAUCCAGCAAUGCCGCGUGAGUGAAGAAGGCCUUCGGGUUGUAAAGCUCUUUUGUCAGGGAAGAAACGGUUCUGGCUAAUAUCUGGAGCUAAUGACGGUACCUGAAGAAUAAGCACCGGCUAACUACAUGCCAGCCGCCGCAGUAAGAC
rnacentral:rRNA from 1 species